CCUAUUUUAAAUGGCGGCAUUUUAUCUUAUUAGAGGAACCUGUUUAUUAAUCGACAAUACACGUUAAUUUUCACUCUUUUCACAAAUUUAUAUACCGCUGUCUAAAGAAUUAAUCUAUCAAUUUUAUUCAAAAUAUAUUUCACAUAUAUAUAUAUAUAUACUAAAAAGAUAAGUCAAGGUGUAGUUUAAAUUCUAGUAUAUUAUGGGUUACAAUAAAAAUAAUUUAUAGAUAAAUUUCCUAAAAUAAAUUUUGAAAUAGGAUUUAUAAGUAUUAAUAAAUAA
rnacentral:rRNA from 1 species